GAAGCCCGUAAUCCCUCCAGGCCC
rnacentral:siRNA from 1 species